rnacentral:rRNA from 1 species
GCUUGUCUCAAAGAUUAAGCCAUGCACGUCUGAGAAUAAAGAGUUUUCUCUGAAUCUGCGAAUGGCUCAUUAUAUCAGUUAUAGUUUAUUUGAUAGUCCCUGCUAUUUGGAUAACCGUAGUAAUUCUAGAGCUAAUACAUGCACAAAGCAGCCCUCACGGGUUGUGUAUUUAUUAGAUACAAUCAGCCCCCUCGGGGUCAUGAUGAAUCAUAAUAACUGAACUAAGCGCAUGCUUUGGCGGCGCUGUUUCAUUCAAGUUUCUGCCCUAUCAGCUUUCGAUGGUAGGGUAUUGGCCUACCAUGGCGUUAACGGGUAACGGAGAAUUAGGGUUCGAUUCCGGAGAGGGAGCCUGAGAGAUGGCUACCACAUCCAAGGAAGGCAGCAGG